ACAGACACUAGAGGCCAUGGUCUUUAGCCUACUUGUUAGAGCAACUGCUGUGCGGAAGGUCGCCAGUUUGAUCUCAGCUUGGAGCAGGUUGGUUGGUGAAGGGCCGGCAGGGUUACACAGGCCUCGGUAAGCUCACUAUUCAAAUUCCUUUAACGUCAUUGGAUGAAAAAUACAGACCAGUUUUUCUCCUUCUAUUUAUUGCCAAAACCCUACAAAGGGCUGUUUUCAACAAAAUUUUCAAAUGUUUAACUCACAUCAAACUGCCUGAAGGAUAUCGGCUUGGAAAAAAACAUCACCAACUGUUUACUCAUUUGCUGAUUACAUCAACUUCCCUGGAACUCCACACAUUGAACAAAAUUUUUCAAUCCAGCUGUGAUCAUCUACAAUUACCCCAUGUAGUUCGGUAAAAAAUGAUUCUGGAUGAUCAGUUUUCCUUCAAAAAGGAUAUUGCUAACACAGCUCCAUCAUGGUGAUCUGCACUUUUAACAUCAGAAAAAUGUGACUCUUCUUAACAGAUCAUGCAGCACAACUUUUAGUGCAAACUCUUGUUAUUUCAAGGCUGCACUCCAACAGUGCUCUUCUAGCUGGAUUCCCAUCCUGCACCCUUAAUCCUCUACAGAUGCUCCAGAACGCUGCAGCUCAUUUGGUCUUCAAUGAGAGCCCAUGUAACUCCUCUCUUUAUCUCUGCAUUGGUUACUGUUCAAGGCUCAAAUCAAGUUAAAAUCACUGACUCUGCCACCUCUUACCUCCACCUACUGCUGAAGGUCAACAUCCCCUCCAGAAGCCUGCAAUCUGACAUGGACCUGCAGCCUGCAGUGGGACGGUUUGCUGCUGAGUGUGACAUGGCAGGGAAAGAACAGCACCUCUAAGUCAGAAACCAUGGUGCUUGACUGGAAAAAGGUGGCCAUCUCCAGUUUGACGGAGAGUCCUUACCCCAAACUGAGUUCAAGUAUCUGAGGUUUUUUUUUUUUUUUUAAUGAGGAAUGGAAUGUGAGAUUUAAAGUUGGAUUAAUGCAGCGGCAGCAGUAAUGCAGUUGCUGUGAUUGUCUGUUGUGGUGAAGGAGCUGAGAUUUCUGUUAACAUAUGUGUUAUCUGAUUAAACCUCUUGUCACAGUGUGAA